rnacentral:ncRNA from 1 species
GGCACACUGGGAAUACUCAAUCCCGGCCGGGAUAACCUGCUAUUCUGACAUGCCGCGAAUCCUCUUGAAAGAGAGGGGUGCCCUCGGGAACGCGGACACAGGUGGUGCAUGGCUGUCGCCAGCUCGUGCCGUAAGGUGUUGGGUUAAGUCUCGCAACGAGCGCAACCCUCGUGUUUAGUUGCCACUAUGAGUUUGGAACCCUGAACAGACCACCGGUGUUAAGCCGGAGGAAGGAGAGGAUGAGGCCNACGAGCGCAACCCUCGUGUUUAGUUGCCACUAUGAGUUUGGAACCCUGAACAGACCACCGGUGUUAAGCCGGAGGAAGGAGAGGAUGAGGCCAAGUCAUCAUGCCCCUUAUGCCCUGGGCGACACACGUGCUACAAUGGGCGGGACAAAGGGUCGCGAUCUCGCGAGGGUGAGCUAACUCCAAAAACCCGUCCUCAGUUGGGAUUCAAAUUAGGGAAAGGAUCCU